AGUGCAGCAGAAACGUCGCCAGCUCCAUUUUCUGGCUUCAGUCGUCGCUUCUGUUUUUGUUUUUAUUGUCAAACGACACGUUUAUUCAUUUAAAGUUCUUUUUAAAGCUCGAUCAACCACUUUUUCAAGAUGGGGGGCGGAGACCUGAACCUGAAGAAGAGCUGGCAUCCCCAGACCAUGAAGAACAUCGAGCGCGUGUGGAAGGCGGAGCAGAAACACGAGGCGGAGCGGAAGAAGAUCGAGGAGCUGCAGAAGGAGCUGAAGGACGAGCGGGCGCGAGAGGAGAUGACGCGCUUCGCCCAGGAGAGCGGAGCCAUCAAGAAGAAGGACGACCGUCUGGACUGGAUGUACCAGGGCCCGGCGGGCCAGGUCUCCAGGGACGAGUACCUGCUGGGCCGGCCCAUCGACAAGCAGAUCACGGAGCAGUACGAGGAGCCGGAGAGCGGCCCGUCGGCCCAGACCGGCCUGCUGCCCGGCUCCAUCUUUAACCCCGUCACCCCGGCCAACACCCUGGACCUGGCGGCCAAGAUCCGGGAGGACCCGCUCUUCCAGAUCCGGAAACGAGAACAAGACAAGAAGAGAGAAGUUCUGACCAACCCGGUGAAGAUGAGGAAGAUCAAGGAGAUGCUGCGCCAAAAUCUUGAGAAGAAAGACAAGAAGAAGAAGAGGAAGAAGGACAAGAAGGAGAAGAAAGGAGACAAAGAGAGGAGGAAGGAGAAGAAGCACAAGAGGAGGAGUCUGAGUUCCAGCUCCGAGGAGGAAGAAGAAGAAGAGAGAUCCAAACACAGGUCCGACUCCAGAGACGAGGCAGGAAGGAGGUGGCGUUCCCAUGAUGCACCGGGGUACGGCCUGCAGUUCUCCACCGGCCGCCAUCACCACCAGGCGGCGCCGGAUCACCACCCGAGCCGCCGCCAGAGGUCCCGGUCCCCGUCCCGGUCCCCCCCCAGGAACCACAGGGACAGGAACUCCCACGGUUCCUCGCACCGCGGUGACAGGAGGGCGGAGCCUCGCGCUGCCAGCCCACAGAAGCCCCGCCCACACAAACAGGCCCCGCCCCCGUCCAGGAAACUGUCUCCGGAGGAGCUGGAGCGGCGCCGGAACCAGAUGAUGGACCAGGCCCGGCAGAGAGAGGAGGACCGGGAGAACAACGUGAGGAGAUACAAGAACCAGGAGGAGCAGGAGAAGCAGCUGGAACAGAACCGGAACCAGAACCUGGAGCAGCACAAAGGAUUCAUACACAACAUGAAGCUGGAAAGCGCCGCCAGCUCGUCCCUGGAGGACCGAGUGAAGAGAAACAUCCACUCCAUCCAGAGAACGGCGGCGUCGCUGGACAACUUCAUGAAGAGAUGAGGACGACGGGGACGACGGGGACGACGGGGACGACGGGGACGACGGGGACGCUGCAGAGACUCCGUCCUCGUCUGGUAGAGACUCGUCCGUCUGUCCUGCAGACACACGGACGACGGGAGAGGACGCAGCUCCUUCCUGGGGCUUUUAUUCUGAAAGGCCGAUUCCAGAACGACUCGUUACUCGUUAAAACGUUGAUGGACCUUUUUAUCUGAAAUGAUUUUGUAAAUAUACGGUCAGUAUUUUAUGUACAACUGGUGUAAAACUCAGUUUCUUUAGUUUCUUGGUAUAACACGUGUUU